GUUCCCGUCGUCUAAUGGAUCAGGACAUCGCUCUUUCAAGGCGGAAAUGAGAGUUCAAUUCUCUCCGGGAAUG
rnacentral:tRNA from 1 species